ACGAGACCAAGAAGCAAGAGUGUGCGGACGGGGUGCACAUCCCAGGACGGCUCUGUCAUCCAACACACAAAUAUAUGUGUCGUUCUGAACUUGCUGUCGUUCUGUGCUGCAUUAUUAAGAUUGAACGAAACGGAUGGACGUCUUGCACUGAAGCUUGCACCAAGUGGAUUGACUUGAGGCUGCAGCGCUAUAGCCUAUUACUAGAGGAGAGGGCUGAUUGGUCAGUGUUCAUUAUUUAAUCCUGCACCGCAACAAAUAUAAAAAAAUGCUUUGUUGUCAAAGUAAAUGGUUCAGGUUCAGAUUCCGCCUAAAAUAUAAGUAUUGCCACAAGGCGGCUCUGCCAAUUUUUAGGUCAACACAAGCACGAAUCCAAGCCUAGCCAUGUUGUCUGUCAGACUUUCAAAACAAGGCGCCAUAGACCACGCUAUUCCGUCAUUCCGGUUUGUUCACAUCACAUCAACAGAAUGACGCAUAUACUUGUGUGUUGGACAACAGAGCCUUCUUGGGAUGUGUACCCCGUCCGUACACUAGUGGACACAAAGGUAGGAGUGCGUCUCCUCAGUGAAGAAGGAGCAAUCACAGAACUGCGGCAUACGAUGCUGGAAGUGAACUGGAAGACAGGGGAGCCGCCCGCGUUAGCCGAGCUGUUGGAUUGUGGUAAGUGUUGAACCCAGUAUACUUAUGUACCACCUUGUUAGACUGCUGGAACUAAUUUUUAUGUUCCAUGUUGUGACGGUAUUACAGGCACGGAAAAGGCCAUGGAACGAAAACGAACAAAAUUGGCCAGAAAUGGCCGCCAUCAGUCCUCCCGCAUUGAAGAGGUGCUUCCAGCGGAGGAACUGGCCACAAAGAGACACAAGGUCACAGGUGGAUGUGGUUGCCCUGCUGAACAGCGAGUAGCAGAACUGGAGGACAAGGUCAACACCUUAGAGAAACGUUUGGAAAUAUCUGAGAACAACUAUGACUCAUACUCAAUGGUGAGGAAGUUAAGAAAGAUAGUCUCCAAGAUGGAAGCGUCCAGCAGCGUGGAGGCGGAAAAGGUAAA